UCCCAUGUAAAGGAUCUCAAUUUUGUUGACAUUGGCCAAAUCUGAAAGUAUGAAAAGCAUGUAAAUGUAUUUUUGAUGUAAAAUGUUGUAAAUGUAAACUCAAACAACAUUUAAAUUGAAAUUGCUACCUUAUUAUGGAAUGACAGCUCAAGCGGAUGGCAAAAACAAAUCAGUGCAAUGUUAUGAUUGUUUUGUGCGCAUGAAACUGAAGCUUUUAAACUGUUUGUAGCUGAUUCCGCUGGUGCAUGGUGAAGGAAAGGUCACAACAUUUUAUGCCGGAAGGCGGAAGUCAAAGGGAACUUGUUUGUUUACGUUUUAAGAUCAUUUGGGGUCGUCUUUGGCAUGGCUUGGCGGUGGAGAUGUUGAAAGUGAUUGAGUGCGGAAGAUGCCGGUGUAAACAACAAGAAUCAGCAUCAAAACAGAUUUUUAGGCAGGGCCUCUAGCGUCAGCAGCGGAAAUUGGUUUCCAAACGGGAAGAUGCCUGGAGCUGGGGGGACGACGGGUAGUUGUUCUUCAGAAUUACCUUGUAUAUGUUCACCUUUCUAAAGAUGUUCUUUACCCAGCUGGAGGCGGUCAGGCCGGACAGCAGUUCGAAGACGAGCUGGGCAAACAAGGAGUCCUUGUCAAACUUCUGGUGGAUCUAUCUUGGUACAGUUCGUAUUUGGUCUGGAUUUUCCAGACAGCGAGGGUCACUCGUAGGUUAGGACAAAGAUCGAUGCUUUGAACAAGCUUCCGGGCUCGGUCCGGUCAACGAUCGAACCCUACAACCUGAAACUCGGUCUCGCCAGCUUUAGUUAUCGGUGUAGCGGAAUCUUAGUUCUUCAGUGUUGGUCGUACUGGUUCUUCACCAACUGAAACAACGCGAGAAACUUUCAAGAACUUCACG